GCACAAAUCAAGGGAGAGGGAGAGAGAAUCUCAAGCUGGGUCCUCCUUGAACAUGGAGCUUGACUCGGGUCUCCAUCCCAUGACCCUGAGAGCACCACCUAAGCAGAAACCAGGAGCGGGACUUAACCGACUCAGCAACCCAGGUGCCCGCUGUGUGGAUCUUCUAAAGCAGAGGUAAAAGCAAACCCUCAGACUCUCAGCCCCUCCACCAAGGCCAGGCCUGAGUGCUUGGUGAGGCUUUUGCAAAGGGCAGUUAGCAUCUCCUUGUCAGGGUGAGGGGAGAACCACAGCUUGAGACCAUGUGGCCUCCAUUCAGCCCUGGCCCCCUGAAGUAUAGGGCGGAGGGGGACUGUGGUCAGAUUAACCAGAAAUGAGGAGGACUUGACCAACUCUCUGCCAGAAAGUCUCCUCCAAAAGUAACCACCCAUGCCCCAAAACAAAACGUUCCCUGACAAUAGGUUCCCUUAGCAACUGAGAGGAAACUGGGAGAGAACUAUUCCCCAGCCUCUGCAACAAGGCGUGGGCAGGUGGGGCUGGGCCCCUCCUUGUGGUUCUUACAAAACUGAUGACUCUCAUGUGACCCUCAGCACUGAAAACAGAAUUUGUGGCAAGUCCAGGCUUGUCCUCUAGCAGCUGCUCUUCUGCCAAGAAAGAUUCCUGCAGCACACCCUCAUCUAGAUCUGCUCCCUCAGUCUUGUUCUGACAAUGUUUCCAGGGGUCGGUUGGUGAGACUUGGCGUGGAAGAACAAUGUGAGAAGAGGGAUUCAUCAGAAUGUUCUAGAAGCUCUGAGUUUCACAGACCGCUGCCCCUGCCAAAUUGUCAGCCUGGUGGAGGCCAAAAGAGGCGGCCAACCCUGGAGCACCUGACUUUGCUGCUUAAAACUCAAGUCCUGACCCAGGCCCAACCCUACCACCCCGUUCUGGCUGACCCUGGGUGAUCUCUGCUGUUGGAGUUCGGAAGAGCUAGGGGUCCUGAGGGACUCAGAAGACCCUUGUAUUGCUGCACUGACCCUCAUGAACCUCUUCUGGCCUAGGGCCUCUGGAGCAGGUGCUGGCUGAGGCAGUCUGUGUGUGCCAGCCUGGGGGAGGUAAGUCACUAUGCAACCCAAGGGCAGCUGGUAUCUUAAAAUAACCACCUUUGAUGCACUAAACAGCCCCAACGAAGACCGAGACUGUAAACCGUUAGGAUGGUAUUAGGGGUUGAAUUGUGUCCCUUGCAAAAAGAUAUGCUCAAGUGCCAACCCUUGGGACCUCAGCAUGUGACCUUAGUUGGAAAUAGGGUCGCUGUAGAUAUAAUUAGUUAUGAUGAAGAAGCCUAGGGUGGGUGGGCCCCUAAUCCAAUGUGACUGGUGUCCUUUGAAGAAGACACCCCUAUGAAGAUACAUGCACACAGGGAGAAGCCAUGUGAUGACAAAGGCAGACUGAAUUUAUGCAGCUUUGAGCCCAGGAAUGCCAACGAUUGCAGAAAAACACCGGAAGCCAGGAAGGAGCGAGGAGGGGUUCCUCUGUAGCUUUCAGAGGGAACGUGGCUCUGCCGACACCUUGGUUUGGGAUUUCUGGCCUCCAGAACUGUGAGAUGAUAAAUUUCCAUUGCCUUAGGCCCCCCAGCCCAAGGCGCUUUGUUACAGCAGCUCCAGGAA
rnacentral:lncRNA from 1 species